GAACAGCUAAAUAUCUUUAUGCGCGCAUGCGCAUUGCUUUUGUUUUGCUUGCUGUCAAAUUACAGGUCAAAAAUGCUGCCAAAUGCUACUCCUAGGCGGGCUAGUUCAAAUGUUCAAAUUAUACAUACCUGCGUAUACUUAACAUAUACCAUAAUUAUAUUUUAUAACUAAAGUGAAAAUUUUUUUGUCAUGGAACUUGUUUGUUUUUAACGUGUUAACCAUCCAUAAAACAAGUCUACUUAAUUUUAAUUGAAAUAACUUCUAAAUGGUAAUGAGUUUUAUUGAAAACAACGAAAGAAGACAGCGAUGAAGGCAGAAAGAAGAGUUUUCAGGGCGACGGAGGAGAAAUCAACUACUAGAUUGAUGAGCAAUACGGAUAGCCAUUUCCUCAUUCAGAUCAUCAACCUGCUGAUCGGCACCGGAAUCUAAACACUUGAAUUGUGGAAUGAAUCUUUCCUCGGCAGAACUUGAAGCAGCAUUUUGAAGCCCCUUGUUUUUGAGAAAGAUGGCUACAAGAUGAAUGUGCUUGCAAAAAUGAUUGUUGGUGGUGGCGUCUCGACAAGUACAGAUAAUGGUUGACAUCGAAGUUCUGCGUCGUGCCCAACAUGCGUAGAAGUAAAUUUUGCAGUCACUGUUCCAGUGGCGCUGCAAAUUUCUGCCCUAAUGCGAGAAGGACACACACCAUCUACUCUUAUGGAGCCAGAAAUUUUAGGUGCUCGUAAUUUACAAGUACUUUUAAAAUCAAAGAAAUUGCUCCUGUGGCACUCGAAGUACAAUGUUUUGCCAGAUGUACUGUUAGUUGACGUCUUCAGAAAAUAGAAAGAUUUUGUCUCUC